AUCUGCCACCCGUCAUAUCCAUGGAACAUAAAGGGUUAAAAACCUUUUAUUUACUUACUUGACUCCAGCACCGAUAUCCAUGGGCGCUGGGUUGGCGCUCUGCCUCCUCCAAUGUCAUCUGACAGGGGAGGGGAGGAGGGUCUAAUGUGCAUGUACGGUGUGUCACUUAAGCCCAUUAGACCACUACAAUAAGAUAAUGUGGUCUUGGUGCCCAUAGUGUACCUUUAAAGGGGCAAUGUAAGCAACAAAACUGCUACAGCACUCUGCAGUGGUGAUGUUGCCUAAAAUGUCAUGGCACCAUCCCUUUGGUUUAAUAGUAAUAGUUUGACAUAAGCUAGAACUUCGGAAUUAGCACUUUAAAUUUAUCAAUUUUGUCGUACUAGGACAAUACUGAUUGGCUGAGAUAGCUAAUCUAACCAACUGGGGGAGGGCACAACAACAUUCUAGGCAGCAUAGCCACUAUGUACUUUAAGUGUCCCUUUAAUUUAUAAAAUGAAAAAACAGUAUUUCUUAUUUUUUCUGAAAUAAACCCACUUUACUGGUGAUUUCUACUCCCAUCCUUAUCCUAGUAGGAAAGAUAUACAUGUUACGAGAAGCCUUACUAAGGAAUUACUAUUACCCAAAGUGUUAAAAUUACAUAUGGGUUGAAUUGGCAUACACAAGUUAAAACAGCACAUACAAAGGAGUAAAUGAAUUGUGCAGUUCAAUGAGAGAUUUGGAGGAAUAAUGGCAAUCAUAGAAAAAGUAUGAUUAAAUAUAUCAAGAAGUUUAACUAGUAUAUAUAUGGCACAAUGAGGCAAAUAUAAUAAAAUGUUUUAUAUGAAACAAUGUUGGAUAUGAGGCACAACAAAUCCAGAUACAAUAUACAAUAGAAAAUGGGACUAAAUGGUACAUAUGCUGUGAUGGUGAUGGUGAGGGAUGGUGAAAUGGCACAAUGGAAUAAAAUGUAACAAAUUAGAUGAAUGUAGACAUGGUAUACGAAGACAUAUGGGGUGCAAAGGCACACACAGAAUUAAAUGUAGUGAAAGGAGUGAAAUAGUAUAUAAGCAAUAAAAUAUACGAAGAUGAAAUUACACGUUUGAAAGGAAAUGGCACAUAUUGCGUUCGUGGAUAGGAUUGAAUGAGAAAUAAUGUAAAAUUACAUAUAUAAUUUAAUAAUUAUAAGGGAUAAAAACACACACAGAAUUAUAGGACAAAUUGGGUGACUAAAUAGCAUAUGUAGGGAAUAACAAGGCGGGCAGGACAGUAAAGUAUUCAUUGUGAAAUUAAAAAUAAAGCAGAGCCCAUUGUAUCCCAUCAUUUUGGCUGAUUGGAUACUACUGCUUGUUUUAGACCCUGAGUUUCAAAUGGACGAAAAGAGGUGCACAAAUAUUUAUAUCACUAGGCAAUGUGCCCAGCAGCUUUCCCUAGAGCUAAAUGGGAUAUGACAGCAGAAACUGGGAAGUCAAACUGUAAAUGCCAACUUUUAAAAUACCAUUAUAAAUACAUUAUUUAAAUGUAAGAUGGUUAACAUUUACAAAGUAAAUGCUUUCAUUGGUUUGGGAAUAGCUAGAGCUUGCACAGUUUCUGUUUGCAAAAAAGGCCAUAUUUAUUCAGACAUUAAAUAACAGUUAUUGACAAUGCAUUACUUGUGCUAUGAACACAGUGUUUUUGUUGCAGUGUUUACAGUGAAUGCAGCUUUAUUUAUCAAUUUGACUCUCUGGUUCUGAAUCAACUGAUGUGAUUGAAACAGAUGAGAUGUCUGACUGUGAAUCUUCUUUCUCACACACUAUUUUAUCCCCAUCUGUAUUUCUUCCUUGGUUGCGCUGUUUGUAAAACUGCACUGCAUCGUUAUACUUGCUCUCAGACAGGCCAAAACAGUGAUGGGACUCCAUGCUGUGACAACU
rnacentral:lncRNA from 1 species